AUCGCUUCUCGGCCUUUUGGCUAAGAUCAAGUGUAGUAUCUGUUCUUAUCAGUUUAAUAAAUACAGAAGAACGGAGAGAUCAUACCACGCACACUUU
rnacentral:snRNA from 1 species